UACGUAGGGGGCAAGCGUUGUCCGGAUUUACUGGGCGUAAAGAGCGUGUAGGCGGCCACGCAGGUCCGUUGUGAAAACUGGAGGCUCAACCUCCAGCUGUCGACGGAAACCGUGUGGCUAGAGUCCUGAAGAGGAGAGUGGAAUUCCUGGUGUAGCGGUGAAAUGCGCAGAUAUCAGGAAGAACACCAAUGGCGAAGGCAGCUCUCUGGGACGGUACUGACGCUGAGACGCGAAAGCCAGGGGAGCAAACGGG
rnacentral:rRNA from 1 species